rnacentral:rRNA from 1 species
AGAGUUUGAUCCUGGCUCAGGACGAACGCUGGCGGCGCGCCUAACACAUGCAAGUCGAACGGAGCUGAGAGGAGCUUGCUUUUCUUGGCUUAGUGGCGAACGGGUGAGUAACGCGUGAGUAACCUGCCCUGGAGUGGGGGACAACAGUUGGAAACGACUGCUAAUACCGCAUAAGCCCACGAUCCGGCAUCGGAUUGAGGGAAAAGGAUUUAUUCGCUUCAGGAUGGACUCGCGUCCAAUUAGCUAGUUGGUGAGGUAACGGCCCACCAAGGCGACGAUUGGUAGCCGGACUGAGAGGUUGAACGGCCACAUUGGGACUGAGACACGGCCCAGACUCCUACGGGAGGCAGCAGUGGGGGAUAUUGCACAAUGGGGGAAACCCUGAUGCAGCGACGCCGCGUGGAGGAAGAAGGUCUUCGGAUUGUAAACUCCUGUUGUUGAGGAAGAUAAUGACGGUACUCAACAAGGAAGUGACGGCUAACUACGUGCCAGCAGCCGCGGUAAAACGUAGGUCACAAGCGUUGUCCGGAAUUACUGGGUGUAAAGGGAGCGCAGGCGGGAAGACAAGUUGGAAGUGAAAUCCAUGGGCUCAACCCAUGAACUGCUUUCAAAACUGUUUUUCUUGAGUAGUGCAGAGGUAGGCGGAAUUCCCGGUGUAGCGGUGGAAUGCGUAGAUAUCGGGAGGAACACCAGUGGCGAAGGCGGCCUACUGGGCACCAACUGACGCUGAGGCUCGAAAGUGUGGGUAGCAAACAGGAUUAGAUACCCUGGUAGUCCACACCGUAAACGAUGAUUACUAGGUGUUGGAGGAUUGACCCCUUCAGUGCCGCAGUUAACACAAUAAGUAAUCCACCUGGGGAGUACGACCGCAAGGUUGAAACUCAAAGGAAUUGACGGGGGCCCGCACAAGCAGUGGAGUAUGUGGUUUAAUUCGA